rnacentral:rRNA from 3 species
AACACGACUCUCGGCAACGGAUAUCUCGGCUCUCGCAUCGAUGAAGAACGUAGCAAAAUGCGAUACCUGGUGUGAAUUGCAGAAUCCCGCGAACCAUCGAGUUUUUGAACGCAAGUUGCGCCCGAGGCCUUCUGGCCGAGGGCACGCCUGCCUGGGCGUCACGC